rnacentral:rRNA from 1 species
UACGUAGGGUGCGAGCGUUGUCCGGAAUUAUUGGGCGUAAAGAGCUCGUAGGCGGUGUGUCACGUCGGCCGUGAAAACCUGCAGCUUAACUGUGGGCGUGCGGUCGAUACGGGCAUCACUGGAGUUCGGCAGGGGAGACUGGAAUUCCUGGUGUAGCGGUGAAAUGCGCAGAUAUCAGGAGGAACACCGGUGGCGAAGGCGACUACCUGGCCUGUUCUUGACGCUGAGGCGCGAAAGCUAGGGGAGCAAACGGG